GGAGAUUUAGCUUAGUGGUAGAGCGCUUGCCUACCAAGCACAAGGCCCUGGGUUCGGUCCCCAGCUCCG
rnacentral:tRNA from 1 species